rnacentral:rRNA from 1 species
GGAUUAGAUACCCUGGUAGUCCACGCCGUAAACGUUGAAUACUCGAUCUUAGCGAUACACAGUUAGGAUCCAAGCGAAAGCGUUAAGUAUUCCACCUGGGAAGUACGAUCGCAAGAUUGAAACUCAAAGGAAUUGACGGGGGCCCGCACAAGCGGAGGAGCAUGUGGUUUAAUUCGAUGAUACGCGAGGAACCUUACCUGGGCUUGAAUGUGAGUGACCGAUGCCGAAAGGUGUCUUCCCUUCGGGGCACAAAACAAGGUGCUGCAUGGCUGUCGUCAGCUCGUGUUG